ensembl:ncRNA H32C10.97 ncRNA
UUUUCUAGUUGUCGCAUCGUUUCGUCAAUUUCUAAUUGAAUUUGGAAGAAGGAGCCGGCAGUUUCUUCCGAGACGUUGCUCUUGCAUGUCAAGUGAAAACCAAUGUCAGGCUCAAUUUCCCGCAUC